GAUGAAGAACGCAGCGAAAUGCGAUAAGUAAUGUGAAUUGCAGAAUUCAGUGAAUCAUCGAAUCUUUGAACGCAUCUUGCGCUCCUUGGUAUUCUGAGGAGCAUGCCUGUUUGAGUGUCAUUAAAUUCUCAACUACACUGACUUUGAAUUGGUGUGGCUUGGAUUUGGGGGGAAAAUUGUUGUGGGCUUUUUGUAUAGUCUGCUCCCCUGAAAUUGAUUAGCGGUACCUUUGUGGAACUGUCUACAGGUGUGAUAAUUAUCUACAUCUUAGACAUCUGCUGGAAUGCUGUUUUCUAAACCUUACUUGUAUUGACAAUCUUGACCUCAAAUCAGGUAGGACUACCCGCUGAACUUAAGCAUAUCAAUAAGCGGAGGA
rnacentral:misc_RNA from 1 species